rnacentral:rRNA from 1 species
AUGGCCGCUCCGCUCCUCUGCCUCCUCCUGCUCCUCUCCACCGCGUCGGCGGAGUACGCACAGGAGCUGCUUCGGCGCGCCGAGGGGGAGCGAGACUGGAUUGUCGGCGUGCGCCACGCCCACCCGGAGCUCGCGUUCCAGGAGCACCGCACCAGCGCACUCGUCCGCGAGGAGCUCGAGGGGCUAGGGAUCACCGCCUGCGCCGUUGCCGGCACAGGCGUCGUCGCCGACGUCGGCUCGGGCCUGCCCCCGAUCGUCGCCCUCCGCGCCGACAUGGAUGCCCUGCCCAUCCAGGAAUUGGUAGAGUGGGAGCAUAAGAGCAGAGUUGAUGGCGUAAUGCACGCGUGUGGGCAUGAUGCGCACACAGCGAUGCUCCUGGGAGCGGCAAAGCUGCUGCAUCAGCGCAAGGAUCAGCUUAAGGGAACGGUGAGACUCCUUUUUCAACCCGCUGAGGAGGGCGGUGCUGGUGCAUCUCAUAUGGUAAAAGAAGGUGUUCUGAAUGGUGUUGAAGCUAUUUUUGCCAUGCACGUCGAUUGUCAGAAGCCGACGGGUUCAAUAGCUGCUCACGCAGGACCGACACAUGCAGCCGUAUGUUUCUAUGUAGUGAAAAUAGAAGGUAAACCUGGGAAGGCUGAAACACCACACUUGAAUGUGGACCCUAUUGUUGCUGCGGCAUUUACCAUCCUCUCCCUGCAACAGCUCACCUCAAGAGAAGAUGAUCCUCUUCACAGCCAAGUGCUCUCUGUUACCUAUAUUAAAGCUGGGAAUUAUACUGAUACCACACCUCCAGUUGUUGAAUUCGGAGGUACUUUGAGGAGCCUCACUACUGAAGGACUUUAUCGACUAGAGAAAAGGCUUAAGGAGGUAGUAGAAGCGCAGGCAGCUGUUCAUCGAUGCAAGGGAGUUGCGGAGAUAUUGGGGGCUCCCUCCUACCCAAUGUAUCCCGCAGUCGUGAAUGAUGAGAGGCUGCAUCGCCAUGUGGAGAAUGUGGGCAGAAGUUUGCUUGGUCCAGACAAUGUGAAGCCCGGGGAGAAGAUCAUGGCAGGGGAAGACUUUGCUUUCUACCAACAGUUAGUUCCUGGCGUCAUCUUUGGUAUUGGUAUUAGAAACGAGAAAGUUGGUUCGGUGCAUUGUUAUCACAACCCGCAUUUCUUCGUUGACGAGGAUGUCCUUCCAAUUGGAGCUGCAUUGCAUACUGCUAUUACAGAAAUGUAUCUCUCUGGAUGUUCCACUCAAAAUGAAGUUGGAAGGGUGUAUUCACAGUAA